rnacentral:rRNA from 1 species
UAGGGGGUAUCGACCCCCCCUGUGCCGGAGCUAACGCAUUAAGUAUUCCGCCUGGGGAGUACGACCGCAAGGUUGAAACUCAAAGGAAUUGACGGGUCCCCGCACAAGCAGCGGAGCAUGUUGUUUAAUUCGAAGCAACGCGAAGAACCUUACCAGGACUUGACAUCUACAGAAUCUUAGGGAAACCUAGGAGUGCCCUUCGGGGAAUUGUAAGACAGGUGGUGCAUGGUUGUCGUCAGCUCGUGUCGUGAGAUGUUGGGUUAAGUCCCGCAACGAGCGCAACCCUUAUGUUUAGUUACCAGCAAGUAAUGUUGGGGACUCUAGACAGACUGCCGGUGAUAAACCGGAGGAAGGUGGGGACGACGUCAAAUCAUCAUGCUCCUUAUGUCCUGGGCUACAAACGUGCUACAAUGGCCAUUACAGAGGGAUGCCACUCCGCAAGGAGGAGCGAAACCCAAAAGGUGGUCUCAGUUCGGAUUGGGGGCUGCAACCCGCCCCUAUGAAGUUGGAGUUGCUAGUAAUCGCGAAUCAGCACGUCGCGGUGAAUGCGUUCCCGGGGAUUGUACACACCGCCCGUCACACCAUGGAAAUUGGGGGCGCCCGAAGUCAGUGACCUAACCCGCAAGGGAAGGAGCUGCCUAAGGUGAAACCAGUGACUAGGGUGAAGUCGUAACAAGGUAGCCG